UUAAAGCCCUAACUCUGAGACGGGACUUUGGGAAAUAAUUCAGGUUGGAUGAGGUCAUGAGGUGGGAUCAUAAUGAUAGGACUAGCGCCCUUGUAAGAAGAGACGCUAGAGAGCUUGCUCUCUCUCUGCCCUGUGGGCGGGGUGAGAAGGCAGUCAUCUGGAGCCGGGGGGAGAGUUUUCACCAGAGCUGUGAGGGUGUAAGUGACUUGUUUGAGCUACCCAGUCUGUGGCUUUUUGUCCUGGCAGCCCAAGCCCGCUAAGACGUGGAGUUAGUGGUACUUGCUGCUAAGAGGCAGUGAAGUGAGGAAUCCAGCCUGCUGCCUUGGGUUUUGGCUUGAGCAAUUGGGUGCAUGGUGAAACCAUACAAGUUUGCAGAACCUGUAAAACAUCCAAGUGGCACCAUGAGGUCAGUUGAUGGCUACAAAAGUUUGAAGCUCAGUGAAGAGGUCUGGACAGGAGAGAAAAAUUUGGGAAUCAGGGUCUCCACAGGUUGUAAAUCUCCUGAUAUCCUGUAUGCUUCAGCUUUAACUUCAACACAGAGAAAAACAACUACGAUGCAACACAGUAUCUGAAUAAAUGAACUGUAGAGACUACUUCUCUGUAACUUGAUCAUAGUUGGUGUCCAAACUCUCGACUCCAGCAAACUAGGACCAGACACUGGAAUCUCGUAUCCAGGGCCAUCUGUGGCAGCCCUUCAGAGACGUGGCUGGGAAGCAUUGCCUGGAACACUACCUGGCCUGCUGCAGUGCUCAGCAGAUAGCCAUUGCUGACUGAAGGAACGGAGGUGUGGACAGAGAGGCUAGUCCCGUCACAGUCACCAUGUGGGGUAGGGAGGGG
rnacentral:lncRNA from 1 species